UACAGAGGGUGCGAGCGUUAAUCGGAAUUACUGGGCGUAAAGCGUGCGUAGACGGCUAUUUAAGUCGGGUGUGAAAGCCCCGGGCUCAACCUGGGAAUUGCAUUCGAGACUGAGCAGCCAGGGUGCGGUAGAGGGAAGCGGAAUUUCCGGUGUAGCGGUGAAAUGCGUAGAUAUCGGAAGGAACACCAGUGGCGAAAGCGGCUUCCUGGUCCAGCACCGACGUUCAGGCACGAAAGCGUGGGGAGCAAACAGG
rnacentral:rRNA from 1 species